CGCCUUUCAGCCUUUACCUCUACCCACUGAAAUGGAGUAGGUCGGUGAGCGCCGAUCUGCUGGAGAAUCUCAUUAUCCCAUCGGCGCUCUGCCUGCUCCUGGCCUCCAAGCCUCUGAAGCCCCUCGGGUUUCAGCUGCCGGCUACCCUCGAGCCCGUGGUGCCCACGAGAGAGGCGACUUUACGUCAGCGGCCCUGGGCUGAGAUUUGAGAACGCGACCAAGUGGAGAAUGUUGGAGCCAGAUUUUAAAAUCCUUGUCUUCCUUCUGCGUGCUACUUGAUCUAAAUGAGAUACGGCAAAGUCACAGAACCUGUUUUUAUGUUUUUGCCUGAUUCAUACGGGCUUCUCCGGUGAAGAUGGGCCUGAAGUAACGCUUGGGUUGCUUCUGACGUUAUAACUCAUCCUGUAGCUGCAGCAACCGUGGUCCUUGCAACCUCAUAAAAAUGUUGCCAGCAUUGUUUCGAUAGUGCUGCUUAAUUCUUGGAAGGCCUCUUUGCUUUCUUCCCUGAGGUUCUUCGGACUUCACACAUUCCAGCAGUAGCUCUCUCAGCUCCUGUCCUGCACAGCUUUGAAGUGCUGGUGAUGUCAUUGAACUCUUAAGUGCAAGAUGAAACAAGUCUUUCUGGGGUUCUAAGUAGUUUCUAGGGCUACAUGAAUCAUCUGAAGCCUCUUCCGGAUGCUAUAAGCAGCCAUGGAUGGGCGGAGAAAAGAUCCUUGGGCCAGCGUCUCCCUUAGGGUCCUUCCUGCCAUGAUAUUGUCGUCUUCAAAGUGUCUUCUGUAAAGACUUCUUCAGACUGUCAAUAGGAAGACUGAUAAACUCAGCAACAGUAUCAGAGAAAAGUAUCAAGGAAGGACUAGAACCUUGUCUGUCACUUGCUGUACCCCACCUAUCUUCAAAUCCAGUUGACUCCAAGUGAACUCUGCAAAAUUCCCAGGCUGGAGUGCGAUGGCGCGAUCUCUACUCACUGCAACCUCCAUCUCCUGGGUUCAAGCAAUUCUCCCUCAGCCUCCCGAGUAGCUAGGACUACAGCCAGCAAGGGAGACAGUGUCUAGAGGCAGUCAUCUAGCAAGAUGGAGACUUACAACAUGAGGCACAUACAAGAGUGACCUCCCAUCGUCUUUGAGGCAUUCUAUUUCUUGUGUCUUUGUGAAGCUUCCUAUCUUUGCUUUUCAACUAAGAUGAAACAGCAUUUAAAAGAAAAUGCCAUGUGAGAUGAGAUCAGGAGAAUGGAUUCUUUCUUUCAUCUGAAUAGAGAGCUGCUGUUCGAGAUUCUAACUCAAAUAGCUCAAAGGACACCUUCUCCGGGAAACCUUCCCUGACUUCCGACGCUGUUUCCUGUUGGGCAUCUAUGUAAAUCAUUUGGAGUUUUUGCCUUUCCUCUUAGAAGAAAAAUAUGAAUGAUUUGACUGAACAGGCCUAUAGCCAAACCCAAGAUGAUCUUUCCAAGCGUGAACUCCAUCUUCAAACUUCUAAUCUUAAACCUUAAAGAAGAAACUAUGGCAAUGUCUCUUCCACCACUCUUGACUAGCAUGAUGUGUUGCCAAAAGACUUCAGAUCAUAAGUGCGAAAUAAAAAAUCAAAAAUUGACUGCAUCUUUUCUCAUUGCUCAACAACUGUCAAACAACUGAGAAAUUUGUUUUGGAUGAAGCAGUAACAUUCCUUCUUCCACUCCCAGCCCCAUUCCACGUAGUCUGCAGUUCCUCACUGACCACUGAUUGAUGUCAACGUGCAAACUCUCAGACAGAAGACAAGAAAUAUGUCCUGGGUUUUCUGGUUCCUCAAGCUUCUGACUAGGACCAGAGCCAGCAAUUACACACACUUAUCCCUAUUCUUUCCAUGAAUGCAGAGAAAGAAAGACCUUCUUGGGCUGUAAGAAAUACUCUAUUCCUCACACAUAAUAACUAAGGCUCAGCAGCUUGUAAAAAGGCAUGGUCCAGGGCAUGUCAGGACAAGGAAGAGCGGUAAGUUGUUUCUCUGUCUUUCCUCUGUAUUCUUUCAUAAUUGGGACAAGGCCUCAGCUGACAAGGAGCUGGCAGAACACUGGGGACAGCUGGUAUGUAAGAACCAACACCGUCCCAUCAGUCAUUUAUUCAACACAUGUUUAUUGAGUAUCUGCAACGUGACUGCACCGUUAUAGAGUCUGCAUUGUUGUAGGUCCUGAGAAAAAAACUGCAAAGCAAAAGUACACACAGGCUUGCCCUCCUGAAAUGUACAGUCAGGUGGAGAUGGCAGAUAUUAAGAAACUAACUUGUGCUAUUGAAGUUUAAAAGAAAGGGAUCUUACUGAGUCUGAGGAGAGGGAUGAAUCAAUGCAGACUUCCUAGAAGAACUGGCAUAUAAACCAAGAACUGAAAGAGGAAUAGACAUUAAACCAGAAAACAGAAUGGAAGAAAAAUAGAUUUACGAUGCAAAAACCGUAAAGGAAAGAGUUCAGUAUGACUGGAAUAUAUAGACAGAAGAUAAUGGUUUAUGAUAAGACUGAAAAGGAAUGCAGGGUCUAGAUAAAGAGACUCUUCAAAUUAGUAAGAAUUUUUUUGAGACAAUAAAAGACCAUUUUGCUUUGGCAAAAUAAUAAUAAUAAUAACACUCAGUGUAGUGUGAACUAUAAAUUUAGGAGAGCAAGAGUAAUUGUGGGGAAAUCAGUUAAGAGACUUGCUUUAGCCAAGAAAACAGUUGAUGUUGGAUUAAACCAUGGAGAAGAUAAUGGAGAUAAUGACAAGUGGACAGAUUUUGGAAAUCAAUAUCUUUUGGUAAUUAAUUGAACAUAGGAGAAAGAAGAAAAGAUGGGGUUACAUAGGACUCUGAAAUUUCUGAACAAUCAGCUGGGAAGAUGAUAGCAUUAUUUGUUGUGUAAAGAACAUGAGAAGAGGCUCGGGAUUGGAAGGACACAUGAGGAGCUCUGGUUUUGACACAGUGAGUGUGGUAUAUGGGCUCUCACUUACGUGGGUCUAGAGCUAAGAAGAGAAGUCAUGGGUUGGACGCAAAAGUGUGGGUUUUGGCAGCAUUUAGGUAGUAAAAAUUUGGCAAAUGGUUAAGAGUAUAUUACAGGAAAAGAAAAUAAUUUAGGUCAGAGUCCAGAGGAAAGCAUACAUUUAACACAGAAGAAUAAAACCUGAGAAAUAACUGGUAAACGAGAUUAGGAAGCAGUCAGAGAGGAAGAAAGCCAGGAGGAUACGGUGUGGCAUGGAAGCCAAUGGAGAGAUUGUUUCAAGAAGAAGAAGAUAGUUAACAGUAGGGAAUUAUCAACAUAGAGAUUAAGAAAUGUGGAUUUACCAAUA
ensembl:lncRNA HULC hepatocellular carcinoma up-regulated long non-coding RNA